CAAUGUGAACCAUACCAAACUGUUGCCUCGGCGGGGUCACGCCCCGGGUGCGUCGCAGCCCCGGAACCAGGCGCCCGCCGGAGGGACCAACCAAACUCUUUACUGUAGUCCCCUCGCGGACGUUAUUUCUUACAGCUCUGAGCAAAAAUUCAAAAUGAAUCAAAACUUUCAACAACGGAUCUCUUGGUUCUGGCAUCGAUGAAGAACGCAGCGAAAUGCGAUAAGUAAUGUGAAUUGCAGAAUUCAGUGAAUCAUCGAAUCUUUGAACGCACAUUGCGCCCGCCAGUAUUCUGGCGGGCAUGCCUGUCCGAGCGUCAUUUCAACCCUCGAACCCCUCCGGGGGGUCGGCGUUGGGGAUCGGGAACCCCUCAGACGGGAUCCCGGCCCCGAAAUACAGUGGCGGUCUCGCCGCAGCCUCUCCUGCGCAGUAGUUUGCACAACUCGCACCGGGAGCGCGGCGCGUCCACGUCCGUAAAACACCCAACUUCUGAAAUGUUGACCUCGGAUCAGGUAGGAAUACCCGCUGAACUUAAGCAUAUCAAUA
rnacentral:rRNA from 1 species